CUCGACGCCUCCUCCGCUCGCCUUGGCCGGCCGCGGGCAUCGAGGCGACGCCUUCCUAGAGCGUCCGGGUGGCGCGGGCUCAGGCAGAACUGACUGAGGGAGACGGGGCUGACGGUUCUGAAAGUUUGGGUGCAAGAACAUGUCUCAGUCGGGUGAAAAGGUAAAGUUUUCUGACUCGGCAGGGUAUGUCGGCUUUGCCAAUCUUCCCAACCAAGUACACCGGAAGUCUGUCAAGAAAGGUUUUGAGUUCACCCUAAUGGUGGUUGGUGAAUCUGGCUUGGGAAAAUCUACAUUAAUUAACAGUUUAUUCCUGACCGAUCUCUAUCCUGAACGCUACAUUCCUGGAGCCGCAGAGAAGAUAGAGAGAACAGUCCAGAUUGAAGCUUCUACCGUAGAAAUAGAGGAGCGAGGGGUGAAACUCCGCCUUACAGUGGUAGAUACUCCGGGAUAUGGCGAUGCCAUUAAUAGCCAAGAUUGUUUCAAGACCAUUAUCCACUACAUUGACAACCAGUUUGAGCGAUACCUUCAUGACGAGAGUGGCCUCAACAGGCGUCACAUCGUAGACAACAGAGUUCAUUGCUGUUUUUACUUCAUUUCCCCCUUUGGACAUGGGUUGAAGCCCUUGGAUGUCGAAUUCAUGAAGGCACUUCAUGGAAAAGUCAACAUUGUCCCUGUGAUUGCUAAGGCAGACACAUUGACACUGAAGGAGAGAGAGAGACUGAAGAGACGGGUUCUAGAUGAGAUUUCAGAGCACGGCAUACGAAUUUACCAGUUACCUGAUGCUGAUUCAGAUGAAGAUGAAGAAUUCAAAGAACAGACCAGGGUUCUAAAGGCUAGCAUUCCUUUUGCUGUGAUUGGAUCCAACCAGCUUAUUGAAGUGAAAGGAAAAAAGAUCAGAGGUCGCCUGUACCCCUGGGGGGUGGUGGAAGUUGAGAAUCCAGAACAUAAUGACUUCUUGAAGCUGCGUACCAUGCUGGUGACACACAUGCAGGACCUUCAAGAAGUUACCCAAGAUUUGCACUAUGAAAACUUCCGCUCAGAGAGACUAAAGCGUACUGGCAAGCCUGUUGAGGAAGAAGGUGUGGACAAGGAUAGAAUCCUUCAGCAGAAGGAAGCUGAGUUACGUCGCAUGCAGGAGAUGAUUGCGCAGAUGCAAGCCCAGAUGAGGAUGAAGCCCAGCGACGAAUGAGAAGUUAACCAGGUUGUUGACGUUAGGCAUCCUACUGGAGAAGCAGAAGUGUCAGCCCACAACUGGUCAACUAGUUUCUACUCUUCAACUUCCAUAUCUAUCUGUGAACCACAGGAGGGCUGCUGAAUGAAACAUUCUCCGUUUGUGCUAUGUGGUUACCCAGUGCUUUUAAAAAUGGAUCAGUGCUUUAUACGAAUCGGGACGAUGACACUAGUGAACAUGAACGAGUCGUGCAUUGACGCAUGGCUGGAUGCUACGAGACGCAGCUGAAAGUCUUGAAGAUCAUGUUGGAAAACAGCCUCCUUUCCCCUCAAUGUAUAGCUCUCCUUAAUCAUGUUGCUUGUAUCCUCCUUCUUCCUUGUGCUAAUGUUGUGCUCAUGUUUAUAAUGUGGGACCUGUGUUCCCUUCUCUUUUUUAAAUCCCAAAGCUAAUAUGCCAUCCGAUAUGUACUACUAGGCUAUGGAAGUAGUUUGGUGAACCAUGUUUGUCCCCACCUAGGAUAAUCCUCGAUACUUUUGUAUCUUUUCUUACUAAAAGACGUGGUGACCUGUUUGCCGCAAAUGUGUAUUAUUUGCGCCAUAUCCAUUUGUUUAAACAUGGCAGAAAUACUGCAUAGCUUGUUGCUAGUUUAUAGCAUUCCUCUCUCAUAGUUUGUCUCUCAGCUAUGCUUUAGCUCCCCGGGGUAGACUUCUCUCUGGUGCUUUUCGUUUUUGAAAAAGAAAAAUGGUACUGAACAUUAAAUCUCCAGCAGAUUGGUGAUGGGAGAGGAUCAGACAUCCUUUUACCCACAAUGCCUUAAAAUCAUGAAAAUGGUCUUACAUGCCAAAUAAUCUCAGAGGCCUCCUGUGUGUUCUGCCUUGAAUUUUCAGGCGUUAAAUUGGGAACACUUUCUGUUGGAGCUGGGUCUUGUUUUGUUUCCCUAUUGAGAAAACAAUGGUAUGUACGCCAAACAUUUUAUAUGUACGAUGGCACUAACUUCCCUGUAGUUUUGUAAUAAAUGGAAUAGACAUGAGAA